AGCUGGCCACGCUGCCAGCUGAAGAGAAGGAGAGAAUGGGGAGGAGAGAGCUGGCCACGCUGCCAGCUGAAGAGAAGGAGAGAAUGGGGAGGAGAGAGCUGGCCACGCUGCCAGCUGAAGAGAGCAGCUUGCUGAUGGGGGAGGAGGAGUAGAGGCAGAGUGAAGCAGGCAGCGUGGAACAGGAACAAGACACAGAAUAGUAAUAAAUAAAUAAAAAUCAAAGAACCACUGAUCCGGGGGAGAGAGGUAGGAAGAUACGAGAAGACGUGUGACGGUAAAGAGGACGUGGACACACUGUAGCGUCAGGUGUGAGGAGUAGCAUGCCUAUCCAAACCAGCAGAGCGCUCGCAAGAUAGCUUGAGGGCACCAAGUGUCACUCAGGCGGUAAAUGCUGCACAAUCCAGUUGUGGAAAGCUCUUGGAGGCUUCCCAGAAAGACAGCUGUAAUCGGCGUGUGAUGACACUGCUCUGGAUGAAGUUCAUGGUUGGGAUUGUACACUAUACCGUCCAGAUGUCAAUCUCAACAUAAAAAAACGAAUGAAAUUAUCAAAUUGAUUGUUUGACAUUUAUAAAAUUGCAUAGCGAAUAUGGCAAUAUGAAUACUGUGCUCGUUAUGUUUUUUGCAUGAGUUAUACAAUAAGAAAUAAAAUGGUAAUGAUUCAUCUCGAAGUGGCCAUUGAUUUAGCAUAAUUGAACACGUCACAAGUAGUGUCACUCCAUCUAGUGGAAGGGGAAAGAAAACGGCUUAGGAUUCAGCAGCGGGCUGCAUAACCUGUUUGUAUAUCCAAUCACAGCGCAGCGACAUGUUUUCAGGCCCACCUUCAGCGUUGCCCCUGUGGCGUCAGGUUUGAAAUGAGAUGAGAAACCAAAAGGAAAUGAGAGAGAGCUCAAACAAGAGGCCUGUGCUUCUGGGAAGGAGGGAGGAAGGGAAGAGGGAGGGAUGAGAGAACGCAACGCUGCCGUGUGUGCUUGACAAAUUAGUGUUCGUAGAACUACCAGAUAAGAGUGCCAUCGGCGGCGACUCCUCUCCUACCACCGACACUGUUGGCAGCUUCAAUACAAGAACAAGACUCUACCUUGACCCUUUUCUCCUGCUCCUCCAAUAGCAGCACAGUAAAAUGUGUAAUAGACAGGAUCCUGUGUUUUGCGCAAUCAUGUGACAGAAAUAUUUUAUUCUGUAUUUUAAACCAUAUUCAGAAAUGAGAAUUGCACCAAAAGAAUUCAAGCUAUGGUCUCCAUUUAUAGCUGGGAAGGGACCUCUACUGUUUCUACAAGACCAGCAGAGUAUAAUUUCUGUUUCAACUUGUUAUUGUUUACUUUGGUCAAUUCCUACUAGCACAGACUUUGUUGAUAACUAUUGAGGGAAAAUGUACUUGUUACAACUGUGAUACGUGGUCUCACCUAGCUAUUUUAAGAUAACUGUGCCAAUUUUAAGUCGCUCUGGAUAAGAGUGUCUGCUAAAUUACUAAAAUAAAAAUGAUACUCCUGAACCAUCUGACAACAAAAGGUGACAGUUUGAUGAAAAGGGUUCAAAUCCAGGUAUGUCACAUGACUGUGCAAAACAGGGCCCUAGAUCGAGGCUAGCCAAGCAGUACUACGCACAAGGAGGUAAGUGGGAAUAAGAGCAGCGAGUGUGGGAGAGGCGCCACGGUAGCCUGGUUGCUCCUUCUGCGGGUCCCCAGAGGUGACAGUGAGUGACAGCCUGGCACAGGUCACAAUGUCCAGCCAGCCUUGUUAAUCCACAAUUGGGGGUUAGGCUCAGGUAGCGGUAGGAAAACUGUAGUAAACAAAUAAGAACGUGGCAAAUGGGGAAUGGGAAGGAGGUCAAUGCCUAUAGCGGAAAUUGCUUAUUCAAAAUAUGUUGCCAUGGAUAAAAAAUGGAAUCGGCAAGGUUUAUGCUACACACUCCUUUGCAGGGAAUACCUGGUCGGAGUCAUGUGAAUAAAAGUAAAUAGGCUGGCCCUGUCAUUAUGUUACUAAGCCAGUGGGCUCCCUGCACUUUUCCAUUCCCAGUUCAUCAUGGGAGUAAACAGCGACAGAGGUCAAUAAAGCAAUAACAGAUAAGGUCCCACCACUAACACAGAGCAGCAUGGUAGAUAGUUCUGGGGAAUUACCCAACAUUUUGGUUCUUUUUUUGUUUAAAAAAAAAAAAAAUUGACUUCACAUGUUCAAUUAUUUGAAUUCCAUUUCCUUUGUUUUUUCUGAGAGCACAAUGGAGUUUCUCUAGAGAUAAAUCAGAUCAAGCCCGAACUGUGGGAUGUAUACUGAACAAAAAUAAAAGCAACAAUUUCAAAGAUUUUGCUGAGUUACAGUUGACACAAGGAAAUCAGUCAAUUGAAAUAAAUAGAUUAGCCCUAAUCUACACCUGGGCUGGUGUGGUUACACGUGGCUUGCAGUUGUGAGGCCAGUUUGACGUACUGCCAAAUUCUCUAAAACGACAUUGGAGGUGGUUUAUGGUUGAGAAAUUAAUAUUGAAUUCUCUGGGAACAGCUCUGGUGGACAUUCCUGCAGUCAGCAUGCCAAUUGCACACUCCCUCAAAACAUCUGUGACAUUGAGAUAAUGGCCAAUUUUAGAGUGGCCUUUUAUUGUUCCCUAGCACAAGGUGCACCUGUGUAAUGAGUAUGCUGUUUAAAUCAGCUUCUUGAUAUGCCACACCUGUCAGGUCGAUGGAUUAUAUUGACAAAAGGAGAAAUGAUCACUAACAGGGAUAUAAACAAAUGUGUGCACAAAAUUUGAGAGAAAUUAAAAUCUUUGCGCAUAUAAAACCUUUCUGGGAUCUUUUAUUUCAGCUCAUGAAACAUGCGACCAACACUUUACAUGUUUCAUUUAUACUUUGUUCAGUGUAGUAAGGAGUUACCAAAAUAACAAUAUCCAACAUAGUGCAGAAAAAGCAGUAAUUAACUACAAUGACCAUAAUCCAUUGCUCGCCUACACAGGAUAGAGCGCAGGCUGCAUCGUGAGGUAUCUCUGCCUGAAAAUACAUGAUCUAAGUGAUUGGUAUUCAGCAGUCAUAAAAGUAUGUCUUAUUUACUUUGACAAACUACUAAAAUAGUGAUUUGUCAGACAGCAGCUUUGUAGAAAUGAGAUGAC